rnacentral:rRNA from 1 species
GACGAACGCUGGCGGCAUGCCUAACACAUGCAAGUCGAACGGUAAGGCCCUUCGGGGUACACGAGUGGCGAACGGGUGAGUAACACGUGGGUGAUCUGCCCUGCACUUCGGGAUAAGCCUGGGAAACUGGGUCUAAUACCGGAUAGGACUCCUGGCUUCAUGGUUGGGGGUGGAAAGCUUUUGCGGUGUGGGAUGGGCCCGGGGCCUAUCAGCUUGUUGGUGGGGUAAUGGCCUACCAAGGCGACGACGGGUAGCCGGCCUGGGAGGGUGACCGGUCACACUGGGACUGGGAUACGGCCCAGACUCCUACGGGAGGCAGCAGUGGGGAAUAUUGCACAAUGGGCGCAAGCCUGAUGCAGCGACGCCGCGUGAGGGAUGACGGCCUUCGGGUUGUAAACCUCUUUCAGCUAUGACGAAGCGCAAGUGACGGUAGUAGCAGAAGAAGGACCGGCCAACUACGUGCCAGCCGCCGCGGUAA